GUAGGUGGCGAGCGUUGUCCGGAAUUAUUGGGCGUAAAGAGCAUGUAGGCGGUUUUUUAAGUCUGGAGUGAAAAUGCGGGGCUCAACCCCGUAUGGCUCUGGAUACUGGAAGACUUGAGUGCAGGAGAGGAAAGGGGAAUUCCCAGUGUAGCGGUGAAAUGCGUAGAUAUUGGGAGGAACACCAGUGGCGAAGGCGCCUUUCUGGACUGUGUCUGACGCUGAGAUGCGAAAGCCAGGGUAGCGAACGGGAUUAGAUACCCCGGUAGUCCUGGCCGUAAACGAUGGGUACUAGGUGUAGGAGGUAUCGACCCCUUCUGUGCCGGAGUUAACGCAAUAAGUACCCCGCCUGGGGAGU
rnacentral:rRNA from 1 species